AACGUAGGAGACAAACGUUAUCCGGAGUUACUGGCCGUAAAGGGCGUGUAGGUGGUUUCGUAAGUCUGGCGUGAAAUUUCUCGGCUUAACCGAGGCAGGUCGUCGGAUACUGCGGAACUAGAGGACGGUAGAGGCGUGUGGAAUUCCGGGUGUAGUGGUGAAAUGCGUAGAGAUCCGGAGGAACACCAGUGGCGAAGGCGACACGCUGGGCCGUACCUGACACUGAGGCGCGAUAGCAUGGGGAGCAAACAGG
rnacentral:rRNA from 1 species